GGACAACAGCCAGCAAGACAGUAAGGACUUCAGUUGCACAACCACAGGGAAAUGAAUUAUGCCGACAACCCUAAGGAGUAUGAAGCUGAUCUGUUCCUAGCCCAGUGUCUCCAUGAGGAUGCAGUCAGUGAACAACAUGAUUUCUGCUUUCUGAGACCCUGAACACCGGACCAACUGACAUACACUGGACUCCUGGCCUAUGCAAAACGAUCUGAGCCCCUUUUCUCCUGAUUAAUCCACUGCAGGCCUAGAGCCAAGCUGCCCUGUUUAUUAAAACGGGAUACCCACUACAGCGUCCACUGCAGAUGCACUUCAAGAUUUCAAAGACUUCCAGCCACAAGAAGACGGCAAGUGAAGAAAAUAGGAGAAAGUGAAUAGAUUUCAAGGCAAAGUCUUGAGAACUUCUUAAGAAUUGAAAGAGACCAAUCUGCUGAGCUUAUGAAAAGAAAGCAACAAAAAACUGAAUAGCCAAUUCUAAAGGCCAAAACAGUUGAGAAGAGUAAAGAGGAAAGAAGGAAGAAAAAGCAAACAUUUACUUUAGUAAUUUUAAAUGUUUGAAGAUUAAAAAAAACAAAAUA
rnacentral:lncRNA from 10 species